CCUACGGGGGGCAGCAGUGGGGAAUAUUGGACAAUGGGGGCAACCCUGAUCCAGCCAUGCCGCGUGUGUGAAGAAGGCCCUCGGGUUGUAAAGCACUUUCAGUGAGGAAGAACGCCUGGUGGUUAAUACCCAUCAGGAAAGACAUCACUCACAGAAGAAGCACCGGCUAACUCCGUGCCAGCAGCCGCGGUAAUACGGAGGGUGCGAGCGUUAAUCGGAAUUACUGGGCGUAAAGCGCGCGUAGGUGGCUUGAUAAGCCGGUUGUGAAAGCCCCGGGCUCAACCUGGGAACGGCAUCCGGAACUGUCAAGCUAGAGUGCAGGAGAGGAAGGUAGAAUUCCCGGUGUAGCGGUGAAAUGCGUAGAGCUCGGGAGGAAUACCAGUGGCGAAGGCGGCCUUCUGGACUGACACUGACACUGAGGUGCGAAAGCGUGGGUAGCAAACAGGAUUAGAUACCCUGGUAGUC
rnacentral:rRNA from 1 species